rnacentral:lncRNA from 1 species
UUUAAAUAAUGAUAAUUUUUUUUUUUCUUGUACCUUAGUGAGAGUAGAUUUAUGAACAAAGCACAAUAGACAUUUUGGAUUGAACUAAAAUAAAUGUCUAAAUUUAGAGUCCUAGAUUAUUACGGAUCAAUUUUUAUUGCUUAAUGAAACUCAAAAUGUUGAAGAAAUAUUUGCAUAAAUACAUUGUAUUUUGGGAUUUUUGAUCAACUUUACAUCUUAAAGGAAAUUAAUUGUUUGCUUCUAUAAAUGGAAUCUCCACAAUGCGAGAGAAAUAUUGGACUUGUCUAUUGGACCUUAAAGUGGCCCAUGGGUGAAAUGAGUUUUUUACUAUUGUCGACAAUACUAACAAGUAACAAUGUUGAAGUAAUUAAAAAUAUAUAUAUUUCUUUAAGAUAAAUUAAUUUUUAUAAUUCAUUGGACUUCCCAUGCUAAAUGACAAUAAUCCGAAGGUGUUUAUUAUAUUUAUCUAUUGAGAUAUCAAUUUAUCUUGGGUAUUGGGAAAAAAAAUUAUCAUAAGCAUUGUAACUUUUUAUAGAAAUAUUAUAUUUUAAUUUACUGAUAUUCUUAUUGGAGUUCCGUGGAGAGCGUAGAUUGAUUCUUUUAUAAUGCAGCCUAGAUAAUAUUAAAAAAAUAAUUUAAAAAGUGAUUAACCGUUUACCAUCCCAAUAAAAAUAUUGGUUAGUUUUUACGUGUAGUGUACUAGUCGUAUAUUUAAUAUUCAAAAUAUGAACAUUGAAGAAAUUAAGAAGUUUCCAUUAUCCCAUUAAGAAGUUGUAAGCGUGAUUGGGGUGCACUCUAAAAUUAUAGCCAUAAUUUCGUUUUCAUAUUGCAAGACAAUCAUUUUCUCUUUUGACUUUGGCUAAGAUAUUGCGCCGCUGUGGAAUAUGCUCUAGUGUGUAUAUCUCACUAAGUUUUUGUGCUGUUACUUUUUAUAUUGGACGGAUAAGGCCCUAUAAUUGCAGUCACUCAACCACACAGCAUGUGUUGUUGGAAUGCAAUGCUUUGAGCAUGACAAGAUUGACUGCAUUUUAGAUUUGAUGUCUUGAAGGGGUGCGUUUAUAGUAGAUAUCAAAGGUCCAAAAUGAUGCCCAAACAUUUUGAUUCUUUUUAGAGCAUGUAAAGAAGAGAUAAUAAUUGGGGUUUGUUUGUGUGCUUCUUCCUCUUUGCACCUUUGAGCCUUUGAGGCUGUUGCAUUGUUUUUUUCUUCAAAAAAAGAUUAUGCAAUUACAAGAAAUCCAUUGCUUGGAUAUUUUCAAAUAUUGUAAAAUGGAUACAAAAACUCUUUUGAUUACAGAGGGCUAUUCGAAUUUUAAAACUAGGGUAUUGUAACUUCAAAACUCUUUAUGGACAUGAUGAGAAAUAAAGUUGUUAAGAAUUAUUUACUUUUAUUUUUAGCACCAAACACUUAAUAAGAUUUAUUUUCGGUUAUUUAGAUAUUUUUCGAAAUCUAAAUUUCUACUUUAAAAAUCACUUAUUUUAAGUAUCAAGUUAUAUAUAUAUAUAAAAAAGGUUAAAAUAUCUACUAAUUGUAAACAAAUCAAAUUAAGUGUUAAAUGAUACAAACAAGUCCUUAAUAAUGAUUCUAUUUUUGUAAGAUCAACCAUUACAAACGGCUUCUUAAAAGCAUCAACAACUCUCUCAAGUACAAAAUUUCUUUUGGUGGCUAUAGCUAGUAAUGUCUCUUUCUCAUCAUUACAAUUGCAUGUUAAUCAUUGUUAAAUCUUGUUCUAUAAUUUUUAAUCUUGGCCAUGUUUGUUAGAGAAUAAUAGGGGCCUAGAAACUAGAUAUGUGUGGUGUCCUUUUCAAGCCCAUUUUUACGUUAAGGUCAAAAAUCAAUUUCUGAGAAAUGAGAGGCGCUUUUAAUAGUGGCUGAGGAGAGAUGAUUCUGAGUUCUCUUUUGGGCCUAGGCCCCGUCGUGUCAUUAU